UUCGCAGCCUAUCUUCAUUUC
rnacentral:piRNA from 1 species